AUACUUACCUGGCACGGGAGACACCAUGAUCACGAAGGUGGUUUUCCUAGGGCAAGGCUUGUCCAUUGCACUCCGGAUGUGCUGACCCCUGCAAUUUCCCCAAAUGUGGGAAACUCGACUGCAUAAUUUGUGGUAUGCGGUAGUGGGGACUCAGUUUGCACCCUCUCCUU